GAUGAACGCUGGCGGCGUGCCUAAUACAUGCAAGUCGAGCGAACGGACGAGAAGCUUGCUUCUCUGAUGUUAGCGGCGGACGGGUGAGUAACACGUGGAUAACCUACCUAUAAGACUGGGAUAACUUCGGGAAACCGGAGCUAAUACCGGAUAAUAUUUUGAACCGCAUGGUUCAAAAGUAAAAGACGGUCUUGCUGUCACUUAUAGAUGGAUCCGCGCUGCAUUAGCUAGUUGGUAAGGUAACGGCUUACCAAGGCAACGAUGCAUAGCCGACCUGAGAGGGUGAUCGGCCACACUGGAACUGAGACACGGUCCAGACUCCUACGGGAGGCAGCAGUAGGGAAUCUUCCGCAAAGGGCGAAAGCCUGACGGAGCAACGCCGCGUGAGUGAUGAAGGUCUUCGGAUCGUAAAACUCUGUUAUUAGGGAAGAACAUAUGUGUAAGUAACUGUGCACAUCCUGACGGUACCUAAUCAGAAAGCCACGGCUAACUACGUG
rnacentral:rRNA from 1 species